UACGUAGGGUGCGAGCGUUGUCCGGAAUUAUUGGGCGUAAAGGGCUCGUAGGCGGUCUGUCACGUCGGGAGUGAAAACACGGGGCUUAACCCCGUGCCUGCCUCCGAUACGGGCAGACUAGAGGUAUGCAGGGGAGAACGGAAUUCCUGGUGUAGCGGUGAAAUGCGCAGAUAUCAGGAGGAACACCGGUGGCGAAGGCGGUUCUCUGGGCAUUACCUGACGCUGAGGAGCGAUAGUGUGGGGAGCGAACAGG
rnacentral:rRNA from 1 species